rnacentral:miRNA from 1 species
UCUCCUAUUCAUUGCAAAACCAUUUCCCCUAUUAUAAUGGAUGUUUGCAUGAACAUCCAUUAUAAUAGGGGAAAUGGUUUUGCAAAAAAAAAAAAAAA